GAAGACAAUUUUUGUUAUGUAUUUGCUUAUCCACUUUUUUUUACAUAUUUUGUUUUUCUCACUGUGUAUUACCCAAUGUUUUCUACAGAUAUCUCUGAUGCUUUGCUGCAGUAGAAUAUCAACAUGAAGUUCAAUAUUUUUAUUUUCAGUUUGGAUAAAUAAGAAAGUCAUUGUUGAGUCUUUCUUGUUUCAAUGUGUUGUAUGUCAAUUUUUUGUUUCACUAUAGAAUCAGACAUAAAAUAUGUAGUAUUUAUAUAGCUUAGGACUGCUUACCUACAUAACUAAAUUUGAAAUGUUAGGUUUAUUAAUCAUAUCAUGUUUUAAGUUAGUGAGCUGUGGAGACUGUAUGUAAUAUUAACACUAGUUGUUAUUUCUGUUAACCCUUUCAAGCUUUGUUUGAUUUUAGAACAUGUCUGUUCAAGUGAAAAUGGAACAUCCUGAUGAUCUACUAGAAGUUGUUUCAAAGUUCAGUUACAGUGAUGAUGAGAAUCAGGAUAGUUCGUUCUAUAACGUUGUGAACCUGACAACAGAAACUGAAUUUCAAAGAGAGAUUGAAUCAGGGUUAGAAAGAACAUGUGUUUUGCUGAAUA